rfam:Tsukamurella paurometabola DSM 20162, complete genome.
CGAGCUGACCGGGCGGCCGCGGCGUCGGGAACGGCUGGGUGACCAGUGCCGCCCGCGUCGAGGAAAGUCCGGACUCCACAGGGCAGGGUGGUUGCUAACGGCAACCCGGGGUGACCCGCGGGACAGUGCCACAGAGAACAGACCGCCCGGGCUUCGGCCCGGGUAAGGGUGAAACGGUGCGGUAAGAGCGCACCAGCGCGGCGGGUGACCGUCGCGGCUCGGUAAACCCCACCCGGAGCAAGGUCGAAGGCGGAACCUCACGGUUCCGCUGCGCACGUGAUCGAGGGCUGCUCGCCUGAGCGUGCGGGUAGACCGCUUGAGGCACCCGGCGACGGUGUGUCCAGAUGGAUGGUCGCCCCCGUGCCACGGUGACGUGGCGCGGGACAGGAUCCGGCUUACACGUCAGCUCGUCCG